UUAGGACUGUGGGGACAUACAUUGCUAGCCUGGAUAGUACAUCAAGUGAUACGCACUUCACAUAGAAGAUUGGACGUUGUGCCAGUCACCAUGUCUGACUCAGCAGAAGCCGCCAACAGCUGCAUACGUUUUGUCUUCGGCGACAUCGCUAACCAGAAAGCGGAUGCGAUAGUCUGCUCUAUAAUGAGAGAUAAACAAAUGAGGAACUGUGAGAUAGCCAGGUAUCUGAAGAAGAAGACAGGGGCUAGCGUACAGGACAUUCUGGAUCAG